GCCUGGGUGGCUCAGUCGGUUGAGCGUCCGACUUCAGCUCAGGUCACGAUCUCGCGGUUUGUGAGUUCGAGCCCCGCGUCAGGCU
rnacentral:tRNA from 1 species